AUCUCUUAGAGCUCUAGCUCACCUCUCUGGUGUUGUUUACAUUUAAUUAAUUUAAUUCUUGUCAGUUCUUCCUGAACUUCUUGUUAGAUCUUGAGUUUGUAUUUCUGUGUCCAUGACAGUUUGUCGAGACUUCACUCACCUCAGAUAUCAGAGUUAGUUUCUUCCUUGUUAGAGUGCGGAUUACCCCUCUGCUUGGAAGUGUACUAGCAUUUUAGAGGUUGCGGAUUACCCUCCUCUAAACUGAUACUUUUUUUGUUAUAAUAUUGGAG
rnacentral:lncRNA from 1 species